rnacentral:rRNA from 1 species
UACAGAGGGGGCAAGCGUUAUUCGGAAUUAUUGGGCGUAAAGGGCGCGUAGGCGGCUUUUCAAGUGACGGGUGAAAUCCCUCGGCUUAACCGAGGAACUGCCUGUCAGACUGGAAGGCUUGAGACCGGGAGAGGUGAGUGGAAUUCCCAGUGUAGCGGUGAAAUUCGUAGAUAUUCGCAAGAACACCAGUGGCGAAGGCGGCUGACUGGUCCGGUUCUGACGCUGAGGCGCGAAAGCGUGGGGAGCAAACAGG